CGCGGCCUAUCAGCUUGUUGGUGGGGUAAUGGCCUACCAAGGCGACGACGGGUAGCCGGCCUGAGAGGGCGACCGGCCACACUGGGACUGAGACACGGCCCAGACUCCUACGGGAGGCAGCAGUGGGGAAUAUUGCGCAAUGGGCGAAAGCCUGACGCAGCGACGCCGCGUGAGGGAUGAAGGCCUUCGGGUUGUAAACCUCUUUCAGCAGGGACGAAGCGAAAGUGACGGUACCUGCAGAAGAAGCACCGGCUAACUACGUGCCAGCAGCCGCGGUAAUACGUAGGGUGCAAGCGUUGUCCGGAUUUAUUGGGCGUAAAGAGCUCGUAGGCGGUUUGUCGCGUCGGAUGUGAAAACCCAGGGCUCAACCCUGGGCCUGCAUUCGAUACGGGCAGACUAGAGUAUGGCAGGGGAGACUGGAAUUCCUGGUGUAGCGGUGAAAUGCGCAGAUAUCAGGAGGAACACCGGUGGCGAAGGCGGGUCUCUGGGCCAAAACUGACGCUGAGGAGCGAAAGCGUGGGGAGCGAACAGGAUUAGAUACCCUGGUAGUCCACGCCGUAAACGUUGGGCGCUAGGUGUAGGGGACCUUCCACGUCCUCUGUGCCGCAGCUAACGCAUUAAGCGCCCCGCCUGGGGAGUACGG
rnacentral:rRNA from 1 species